ensembl:lncRNA
UCUGUCUUUCUCUCUCCCUCUCUCUCUCUCAGUACCUCUAAAACAAUCUGUUCCCAAAGGUAGUAUACGGUCUGUCUCAGAAUACAACUGCCAUUUGGGUGCCAUUUGGGACAAUACCCUAGAUAUAAAGGCAGGCAGAUGAUGAACCUGUACUGUUAGUGGAGGUUAAUGGGACUGUACUGUUCGUGGAGGUUACUGGGACUGUAGUGGAGAUUACUGGGACUGUAGUGGAGGUUACUGGGACUGUAGUGGAGGCUACUGGGACUGUAGUGGAGAUUACUGGGACUGUAGUGGAUGUUACUGGGACUGUACUGGAGGCUACUGGGACUGUAGUGGAGAUUACUGGGACUGUAGUGGAGAUUACUGGGACUGUAGUGGAGGUUACUGGGACUGUAGUGGAGGUUACUGGGACUGUAGUAGAGAUUACUGGGACUGUAGUAAUUUCAGCUCUGUAGUGCAGCGCUAGUGGAAAGUCAGGUGGAAUUGUAUUUAUUUUUUAUUUUACUCGCAAGGCAGUUAAGGACAAAUUCUUAUUUUCAAUGACGGCCUAGGAACAGUGGGGUUUAACUGCCUUGUUCAGGGGCAGAACGACAGAUUUUUACCUUGUCAGCUCGGGGGAUUCGAUCUUGCAACCUUUUGGUUAUUAGUCCUACACUCUAACCACUAGUCUACCUGCCGCCCCUACACUCUAACCACUAGGCUACCUGCCGCCCCAAUGAAAUCCAGUAGGAAAGGUCUAACCUCAGUAAACUAACUGAAGACUGAAUAGUUUCUGUAAAUGUGUUAUCUAGCUAUAGCAGCUGGCCUUGUCCUCUCCUCACACGGUCCUUUAAUCUAAAGAGACAACAGCCACACAGCAUGUUGAUUACUUACACCAGAUGUUGCAGGAAUACCCCCCCCUCCCCCCCUGUUGAGAGAUAUUACAGUUCAAUUGAACUGAAUUGAGUGUAGUCCAUCAGAAAUCCAACCUGGCCACCUCUAACUGAUUAGGACUAAGAUACACUAAACUCAAAAAAGGAAAAGUUGCACCAACUCAAAAACAAAACAAACAAAACAACCCGAAGAAGCAGC